rnacentral:rRNA from 1 species
UACGUAGGGACCGAGCGUUGUCCGGAUUCAUUGGGCGUAAAGAGCUCGUAGGCGGCUGCUCAAGUCGAAUGUGAAAACUCGAGGCUCAACCUCGAGCCUGCAUUCGAUACUGGGCGGCUAGAGUCUGGUAGGGGGAUCUGGAAUUCCUGGUGUAGCGGUGGAAUGCGCAGAUAUCGGAAGGAACAUCAGUGGCGAAGGCGGGUCUCUGGGCCGAUACUGACGCUGAGGAGCGAAAGCGUGGGGAGCGAACAGG